CGUUUUUUUUCUCUCACGCUGAACAGGAGCCAGCCCACCUGAGGAGAUGGUUUCGUAGGUUUUGCCCUUUCCCAUGUGAGAAGACCGCUUUGCUAGGGUUCCACCAUGGGCGUCGCCUGCUGCUCGUCCUCGCCUCCGCCGCCGAAGUCGUCGCUAACAUGCCGCCUCCGGAUCAGGCCCGACCGAGAUCGCCGGCUCCUGCUGGUGCUCGCCUCCCCCGGUGGAGGAGUUGUUGACCACGCCGCCUCUAGAUCAAGCCCGACCCCGUGCACCAUCUCCUGCUGGUACACGCCUCCGCCGACGUAGGAGUCGCUGACCACGCCGUCUCCGGAUCUGGAUGUUUCUCCCGCGCUGCCGCCUGUAGGUCCUCGACUCCAUCGGGUAGGGAUUCUCUGACCACGCCACCUCCGGAUCAGGCCAGGCCUGGCCCCUCCAACCUCUCUGCUCUGCUCUUCCACGGCGGCGCCACCAUGUCCUCGACGGUGAGUCCAAGGUAAAGUGAACUGAUCUCUCCCGUUUUGCGUUUUGCACGAUGUAGUGCUUGGGUCUUGAUCGCCACCGUGUUGCUCGUGACGGAGGUGAUAGUGGUUGUAGCUUUGGACGGGAUGCAUUUACGGCUUCAGUUUGUCACUGUGCCGGCUUCGUGGACGAAGCCUAUGUCCGUUUCUUUUACUUCUCUUGGAAGAAGCCUCAGUUAUUUGUUUCUCAUUAUGCUGGACCAAUGGAUUGGAAAGAAUAGAGAGUAAUUAGAAUACGCAAGUGACUAACCGCCUCUUUCUGAAGAUGGCAACCUUUCAAGAACCUUUUUAAUUCAGAAGCGAUGUUAUUAUUUGAAAACCUUCACUUCCCCUUGCACUUUGAUUCUGAAGGCCAACUUCACAGAGCAAAGGAGAGAGAAUAACACGAUUUUUUUAUUAAUUCAGAAGAUAGAAUCUGACUUGAUCAAUACAGUGGACUCAUGCUCAUAUGUUCAAAGUUUUAUUCAAUGAUUGGUUUCAGUUAGUAUCUUGGUGAAGCUGGAGAUAGUUGAGUAAGAGUGACCAUUCUGAUUACACAGUGUACUUUCUUGAUGAGCUAAACAAUCCCUAAAGUUUGACAAAAGCUAGACUAUCAAGUCACUGGCUGCCUCUGGCACUAACAAUGGUGGCAAAAACAAAAAAAGAAAUAUAUUUCUCUUUAUGAAAUUGGUAAAUAUACAAAACUUGUUUUUAGAUGAUGAAUGUAACAGAAUUUAGCAUCCAAACUUCAAGGGGUGAGCGACUGUUCCCCGUGAUUGGAGUGGAUGCGAGGGGGAGGAGCCCAGCGACGACCUCGACGUUUGCUGCAACAACCACGACCACUGCAUCGACAAGGUACAUAUCUGGCCUCAUUAGAAUGAAACCUGGAUCUUAAUGUACAGAUGAUCCAUUUUAUGUAAUGUUUUAGUGAAGUUAUCUUGUUCUAUUCUUCACACUGCUCGCUGUGAUAAUUUGAACAUCAUUGUAGUAUGGAAAAAUCGAACAUAUAUAAUCCCUAGAAUACCGAUUGAUCUUAUGAAAGACAUCAUACGUGUCUAGAAGUUCUGCUUGUAAUGAGUUUAACACGUGCUCUUCAUCAGAUAGAAGCUUACAACUACAUAGGGUACAUGGCCACCUAUAAUUCCCAACUAUUUAGUCACAUGAACUGGUGUAUAGAGAAAAAUGCUUGUAUAAACUUCAAGACGUACUCAAUAUGGUGUAGAGAUUACUAAACCUUGUGGUUAUGUCAUGAAAUGCCAUUGCUAUUUUUUCUCUUUAUGUUACACAUUUUGAUGGUGUAUUUAUACGGAUUCCUAUCACAUAAGUGAAGAUAAGUGUAAAGUAUAAGCUAUUCCUAUCUGUCUUGAACAUUAGGAGUAGAGCUAAACGGCAGUCCAACUCUUGAUGAUAUCAGUUUUGGAUAUGCUGUUUUGAAAUAUUUGCAUUGUCAGCAGUUAACUAGCACAUCAUUUUGCUAAAUGACAAGUGUGCCAAAAUUUCUGCACCGUUUCUAACAAGCAAAUAUGCCUAAGCAGUAUCUACCACUACUGGAAGCGCCAAUUGCCGUGCACUGGUUCAUUUCUCCACCAGAUAACCUUUGCCAAUUAUUUGUUUUAGGAGUUCCAUGUAGAAAUGAAAUUCUUGCAUUUUGUCCUGCAGCUUAAGGACAUUCUGUCAAAUGAAGGAAGUCACAGUGGUAUGUGACCCAUCGUGUGCUACAUUCAUUUGCCUUUAUCUACUUGGCAUCCUACACAGGUUAAGUUGAAACCUUGCAAAUACCUUGCGUUGUUUGGCAUUGUUAUUAUAUGGUGCGAUCUAAAAAGUAUCUCACUAUACUGGUGUUCAAAUUUUUUGUGUGAGUGAAUUCGGAUAGAAGUGUGAAAAGGUGAACAUACUAGCAGGAAAGAACAAUGAGAUGAGAAAAGUCUGAGAUGGAUAUCAAGAAAGUUGACGUAUAUAGAUGGUUUCUACAUUUCAACUAAUGAAAAAUUGACAACUGUAAAAGUAUAAUCCAGAUGCUGCCAGUUUUCUUGAUAUUUUAAGAUAUUUCGUCGUGACAACCUCAUAAUAUUUUCAGCCAUUUAUUUAUAUGUAUGAUCCUCCUCCUAAUAGUUAUCGGAUGUGGUUGUUAUCAUGUACAUGGAACUAAAUUAUAAGUUAUAUGUGUUGUCCCUUUUACUUUUCUACUUAUACAUUGUUGAUAACUUUGAGUAACUACACUAAAUCUGCAGACUUGUAGGACUCUAUUAUUUACUCCAGUUUCUUCAUACUUUCAUACUUUCAUUCACAUUUCUCUUUUGUUAUUUUUUUUACUGGAGUGUACAGUUGCUAUUCAUUUUGGGGAUCAUAUGUUAUACAGUUGUUAAGAAUUAGCAGACUGCUUCUUGGAAUACGUAUUUAAGAUUUCAAAAUGCUUCUGAUGUUGAACGUGGAUGCAAUUACAAUUUUCAUAUAAAAACCUCCUUGCUUGUUCCACACUUGCAGUCCAAGUAUCAAAGAAGAAAAAAAGGAUCUAGCAAAAUUUACAUUCAGAGAUCUAGCACACGAUCUGGAAUAAUGAUUAACAUAAUAUGCGCACACUUAAAGAAAAGUGAAGCAAACCAAGGAUACACCUACACAUAAUUACAAGAGAGGUAAUUUAUUUGUUCCAGAUUUGGUUCGUACUGUCAUAGCAUCAUCCUCUGUAUGUGGAUUGAUUACUUUUAUUUAGCUGUUCACUCUACCAGGAAAUCUCCGCAACUGCUUGCAUUUGGUACGAGGAAACAUACUUUUUACGUACAAGUCAAAACUUGUAAAAAACAAGAUUUCUUUGUCUUGGGUAUAGAUAAACACUAUUAGAAGAAUAAUGCAUUAUCAACACUUAUGUUGUGUAUUCACCUUAUCAUUGUUAUUCUUAUUGGGUUAGAUCGGUAGUUCUUUGCUUUAUACAUAGUCAUACUGAAGUGUUGUUUAAUAAUUUUUAUCAUUGUCAGUGCUAAACAAGAUGAAUAUAUUUUCCAUCAUUUAGAAGAUAUAAGAAUAUGCUGAUUUCGAUGAUAUUCUGACGCUGGUUAGUUAGAGAAUGUUAUGUACGGUGUACGCUAUUACAAGUAACUUUCUUGAGAAGACUGAUUCAUAUUUUGCAGUGUAGGAUAUUACAAGUGACGGUGUUAGUAAUAUGUUGUUGUCUGAAUCAUGCUGAUCUGGAUAUGGUACCUACAACUAAUUACUAACACAUGUGGAUCAAAUGAGUGAUGAGUUGAUCAUGAUAUUUCACAUAUACAUAAUAUUUUAUGCUAACAAUUUGAUAUGUCCCAUAGCAGCGCACGAGCAUGUUUUCUGCUAACAAUUUGAUGUAAGCAUAGGCAAGUUGACUAAAAGGAACAUACCAAUUGGGGAAUUGAAAAUAGUAAUAUCAUAUUUCAGUUAAGGGGAAAGCAGUACCUUGUCAGUGAAGGUCUCUUUGCCAAAGUAAGGAUGUCGAUGCCGAGUCACGUGGCUAGAAUCGGAGUUUCGUGACGGCACCACCAAGAUGUGGAUAGAGGCGGGAGCGACCACGAACAUCCAGAUCCAUGGUCUUGGACGGAGGACGGCCAUGGAGACGAUGAUGCGGCGCUGGUGUCUGACGAUGAGCCUACUAGGUGUGGUCUCCGAAGGUCGCCGAACGCGGAAUUACGGCGAUCCUCACACCGAUGAUGGAGAGAAAGGGGAGGGACCGGUCUCCGCUCGGUCUUCUCGAGAGAGUGGUGGAGCUUGAUAAAAUGGGUGAGCUCGAGAGAGUGAGGAGGCGGUCGGUUUUACAUCGUUCACAUUCCUUUUCUGCAAAGUGUUUCUAGAAAAAAUAAGUGUUAGAAUUCCCUCUUUACUGCAAAGAAUGAGGAGCCCUUUUUGUAUGUUUGACACAGAAGGCUAUGAUCCAGGGUUGUCUC